rnacentral:lncRNA from 8 species
AUGUUUACACAUUUCACCAAUGCACUUUUGCGCACAUUCUCUAUUGAUAGUUUACAAGUUACACCUGACAACCAUGGAGAUGAUCUGGACCAUGAUGACAUUAAUGUUGAUGUGCCUCAGGGCCAUACUGGUGUGGUUCAGAUGUCCAGGACAGUCGCUGUGGGGAUUCUCUCUGUGUCUGUACUUCACAUCCUCAUCCUUGGGGUACUUGGCUUCAACUGUUUACAGAACAUGGGACUGCAGAGUCAACUGAAGAUGUCUGAAGACCUCAUCCAUGAUGUUUCUGUAGAAUUGGACAACUAUGGAAAGGUGUUUCCCAAGUCCAUCCAGACUGAACCACCACUAUCCACCACGCCUACCAAGUCCAUCCAGACUGAACCACCACUAUCCACCACGCCUACCAAGUCCAUCCAGACUGAACCACCACUAUCCACCACGCCUACCAAGUCCAUCCAGACUGAACCACCACUAUCCACCACACCUACCAAGUCCAUCCAGACUGAACCACCACUAUCCACCACGCCUACCAAGUCCAUCCAGACUGAACCACCACUAUCCACCACGCCUACCAAGUCCAUCCAGACUGAACCACCACUAUCCACCACGCCUACCAAGUCCAUCCAGACUGAACCACCACGAUCCACCACACCUACCAAGUCCAUCCAGACUGAACCACCACUAUCCACCAUACCUACCAAGUCCAUCCAGACUGAACCACCACGAUCCACCAUACCUACCAAGUCCAUCCAGACUGAACCACCACGAUCCACCAUACCUACCAAGUCCAUCCAGACUGAACCACCACUAUCCACCAAGCCUACAAAGUCCAUCCAGACUGAACCACCACUAUCCACCACACCUACCAAGCCCAUCCAGACUGAACCACCACUAUCCACCACACCUACCAAGCCCAUCCAGACUGAACCACCACUAUCCACCACACCUACCAAGCCCAUCCAGACUGAACCACCACUAUCCACCACACCUACCAAGCCCACCCAGACUGAACCACCACUAUCCACCACACCUACCAAGCCCAUCCAGACUGAACCACCACUAUCCACCACACCUACCAAGCCCAUCCAGACUGAACCACCACUAUCCACCACACCUACCAAGUCCAUCCAGACUGAACCACCACUAUCCACCAUACCUACCAAGUCCAUCCAGACUGAACCACCACUAUCCACCACACCUACCAAGUCCAUCCAGACUGAACCACCACUAUCCACCACACCUACCAAGUCCAUCCAGACUGAACCACCACUAUCCACCACGCCUACCAAGCCCAUCCAGACUGAACCACCACUAUCCACCACACCUACCAAGCCCACCCAGACUGAACCACCACUAUCCACCAUACCUACCAAGUCCAUCCAGACUGAACCACCACCAUGGGAGUCAUACCACCGUGACAGUAUCUUUAGAAAAUGUUCGACGGGGAAUAAAAAUGGCGGAGCUCUUUAUUUUAUCCUUCUUGUUGAUGAAACAGUUGAUUACAUAAGAGUAAUUUUGGGGUGCCAGUUAGGAUGUAUUGUAAUGUUAAUGGUCUUACUGUUUAGAGCUGUGACAAAGUCAUUCAAAUAUAAAGGGGGAACAUGA